CCAGCCAUACCACCCUGAACGCUCCUGAUCUUGUCUGAUCUCUGAAGCUAAGCAGGGUUGGGCCUGGUUGGUACUCGGAUGGGGGGUACUAAGGCUACAGCACCUGGCUGUCUGGC
rnacentral:rRNA from 1 species